rnacentral:rRNA from 1 species
ACGAACGCUGGCGGCGUGCUUAACACAUGCAAGUCGCACGGUGAAGCGAGUGCUUGCACUCGUGGAUCAGUGGCGAACGGGUGAGUAACACGUGAGUAACCUGCCCAUCACUCUGGGAUAAGCACUGGAAACGGUGUCUAAUACUGGAUACGACCAACCCUUGCAUGGGGUGUUGGUGGAAAGAUUUAUCGGUGAUGGAUGGACUCGCGGCCUAUCAGCUUGUUGGCGGGGUAAUGGCCCACCAAGGCGACGACGGGUAGCCGGCCUGAGAGGGUGACCGGCCGCACUGGGACUGAGACACGGCCCAGACUCCUACGGGAGGCAGCAGUGGGGAAUAUUGCACAAUGGGCGAAAGCCUGAUGCAGCGACGCCGCGUGAGGGAUGACGGCCUUCGGGUUGUAAACCUCUUUCAGCAGGGAAGAAGCGAAAGUGACGGUACCUGCAGAAGAAGCACCGGCUAACUACGUG